GAUCGUCUUAGAUCUUUCUUCUUAUCUGACAAGCCCCAAGUGAACCUCUGCUGGUUUCCUUCUCUUCAAGUCAAGCUUUUUCAACUGAUCUAUUUACUGAUUGCCACAGACUUUGCUCUGGUUAAACCAUGUGGAUUCCUACCUUCCAAGUCCUCAACCAUUAGCAAGAAACAGUCAAAGCCAAUGUACUACGGGAAAAGCUCCUGUACGAGAGCCAGUCCAGGCAAGCCUGUCCACCUGGUCAUCUCCUCCCAUUUCUUUCCCUUCAAGCUGUAAGCCACACCCGUUUCCGACCAUUCUAUAUUCUAAGUU